rnacentral:ribozyme from 12 species
UUUUUUUUUUUUUUUUUUUUUUUUUUUUUUUUUUUUUUUUUAUGCCUAAAUGCGAUUUUUACAUAAUCAGGA